CAAGUCUGUACGUAGUGCUUUUUACUUCCUUUUGACCCCGGCCGCGACAGCGAGAAGGCAGCAAUCCGCUAAACAAGAGCGUUUAGCACUGUGCUCAAGUGGUUACACAGACGAACCGUCUGUCAUCUUGUGAGAGCUGAGAGUCCCCGACGGCGCUCAGCACUGGAACGAAGCGCAUCGGUCAGGUCUUUUGGAGACCCCUAGUCUUCAUAUCCAUUCUUUUGGAGAGGAUCCAGAGCCUUGGAUGAAGGAUUCGGGAUCAUUUGGUGAUUCAUAGAUGGCGAGCCUCCCAAAGAUCCUAAGGAAGCGGGAUUGACUCUUCGUCACUAACUACAAGUGGUGGUAGGGCCAGCCUGGUUGGCAGGAUUGCUACACACCCAAAAGAGUUAGCGUGUGACUCUGAUCACCCUAUUAGAGGAACAUUUGAAAGGAACACAGUAAAACAGUAACGGUACUAAGAAACACAAGACUCUUUAUUUUAAAGGCGCCAUUUUAUUUUGUUUGUUAUUUUCCAUACCAUUGUUCAUAUAAAUGUUGUAAACUAUUGUGAUACAGUACUCACUAAAAGAGUUUACUUUGCAAAUUGUUUCGUGGUUGGUGUUGUUCAUUGUUUGGCUGUUCAGGUCUAUGGUACAUGAGCUCUUUACGAACCUAGCCAUUCAGUGUAUUCACUAUAAGUGGGUUACACAAGCAUGAAACAAACAUCAAUUAUCACCUUCGGUGUGUAUUUAUUGCUGUUCCUAUCCCAAAACCCUGACAUCAGCGUAGAUGCUCUCUCCCUCAACUGAAUUUGCAUCUCUCCUUAAACUUCUGCCAGGUUUCCCUCUGAUAAAGUUUGGCACAGCAUAAACCAAAGAGUUUUCAUCUAUCUGUAGAAAUAAAUGGAAAAACUUUAUUAAAUGAGAGAUAUCAACAUAAAUGUUAAGUUAACAUCUUAUAUUGAAAAUGGCUCACUUGCUGACUUUGUUGAUCAUCAGUGGUUGUUGCAGCAUUUGUUUGCAGACCAGCAGCUGGAUUACAACAUGACAAGUAAGACAGUAAGAAAGGACAGGAUUUCAAAUUAUUUUGAAAAUGAAAGAUGGAUUGAUCAAGAAAGAC